UGGCAGACUGCAAACCGAAAGGCGGCAUUGAAAGUUUUUUUUUCUGUGUAUGUGAGGUUUUUUGUCAAAGAAUAUUCAACAUGGCUCCUGGUGGCCGAUGCAACGAACCUCGUCGCCAUAAAGACGGCCUACUGGGGACAUGUUGCUGCGUCUUCAUAGCGGGGGGUUUCGUAGUCGGAAUCAUUCUGCUCAUCUUGUAUUCAACUGGCAGCAUCUAAUAUAUUGGGAAUAAUUGGAAUAUCAGAUCUCCAUCAUUACAGCGUCACUAGCCAAAGAAAUGAUGAACAUGUGACCAAAAACACUUACCCAAAUACGUUAUAUAGACAUCUAUUUAUGUUAUAAGGUAAAUCCAGCACUAUAUCAGAACAGCUACAUCCAUGUCAGCGACGACUUCCAAAACCAUUAAGAAAUAAUCUACUACUCGAAACAACAAACUAAGAUCACUUUUUUCGAUAUGACUGUUUUUAAAUUUAGAUUAGAGUUGCGAAAGACAAAUCAAGGGCUUAGGAUACAAGUCUUAUUCUGGCUAGGAGAACGGUUAAGAAAACUUGGAAGACUAAGGAUGUUGAGGUCCCCACAACUCAUAUUUGCCGUUCAAAUGGCUGAAAUCCAUGGCUGAAAUAAAUGUUUUAAAAUCUCUUUGACGUUGACUACCGGAACGACUCUAUAAUAACUUGUAAAUGAUCAUUUAAUCUUUGAAAGUGAAGAAUUAAAUCAAUGCUGACUUUCCUCCAAAAAAUCAUCAGUUAUCAGUGAAAUUCGAUAAAUAUCCCUUUGAAUAUCAGCUAUGAACUAAACUGCUAAUGUUAUAGGACAUUGCUUGUAAAGGAAAGUGGUAGUAAAUAGUGUAAACCCUGACGAAUUUGAUAUACAUUUAUUUAUGAAGAGCAAACAUCUCAAUGCCAAAAAGUAAAGAUAUCUUUUUAAAUGUGAACACUGUAUUUAAAGUAGUGAAAUUGAUCGUUUCUAUUUCAAACUAACAUUCUUAAUUACAUACAGUCCAGCAUUUAGUAGUUGGUAUUUAUUGAAUUUUCCGCCUUAUAAUUUUAAAUUAUGUACAAUAGCCAAAAUGAAUGCCCUCCCCUACCCCCAACAUAUU